UGAUUUUAUAGUAACGAUUACCCUUCAUAUAUUCUUCAGUAAAAGCUUUGUUAAGUGAGAAAUAUUGUAAAAACUAAAAAAAAAGAAAAAGGGCUUAUUUUAUGGUAAACCAGCUCCCAUUUUUUUUAGACGUACUGUAAGAGAAAAAUAGCCAUUUAAAUUAACAAUCCACUUAAUUCUUUGGUUAUAUACAUCGGCUGCUAUAUUUGUACUAAUGUUAGAAUGCUAGCUUCACUUUAAAUCCUUUAAAUUCUUUUCUUUUUGACCUAACAGCUACUAUUAAUUGUAGUGAGGCUGAUAAACAUGGUACUGUAUGCGGGUCGGCUGUUAUGCUUGUAUUUUUCUUGUGUUGUUUCUCAAAGGAUGCAGCAAAGAGCAACAUUAAGGGAGCUUACAGUUUUUCUUAACUGUUAAGUAACACAAACCGGUGCUUUAGGCACAUGACCAUCACAUGUAACUCAUGCACCAACCCUUUAAAUCGGAUCUGCUGAAUUGCAAAAGCAAUUCCCAAUCUUCACGCUAGAUGUUUUUCUGUUUUUUUCAGAACACGACACACAAUUCUCAUGCUUUUAACCGAAUUUACAUGAAGAAAAUGUCUUGUUUUUACUAAAAACACACUAAUUUGAAAUUAUAUUGACAAUUUGUUUUACUAUAGAGGUGACUCAUCAAAAGGACAAACAGCUGCAACAGACUUUUACAGUCAGCAGUCAGAGCUGGAGCAAAAAAAAGGUGAAGCAAUCUCUUUAAGUGCAACCGAGGCCAAGAUUGAAAACAUAGAGCUUAUUACACAGGCUCAUUAUACAGACUUAGACAAACUUUAUUUCAUUUUGUACAGCACAUGACAUUUCCAUUUUCUUAAAGUGCAGCGGUGAUCAGUUGUUAACAUUGUGGGAGAAAAAACAUGGUGCAAAAAAACGUACUGAUAUGGUCGGUUUGAUGCAGAGUCUGUGACAUGAUUUAGAGUUUUUUCAACAGUUCAGCUGUCUGAUGGCGGUGUGAAAGAAGCUGAUUCAGAAUCGGCUGGACCUGCAUCGGAUGCUGCAAAGCCUCUUCCCAGAGGGCAGCAGGGAGUACAGUCCAUGGUGGGGAUGUGAGGGGUUGCUGAUCAUGUUAUGGACUUGGGAUACGCAGAGAUGUGAUGAAAUGUAUUUUAUGGACGGAAGAGGAGCCCCCAUGAUCCUCUCUGCUGUUCCCACUUAUCUUCUCACCUUCUUCCAAACUCUAGCACCAUGUACAACUUUGUGUUGUUUGAUUUUACAGGAGAAUUAAGUAGUUUUAAAGAUUGUGAAUAUGUUAUUAUAAUUGUGUGUAGAGUGUGAUUGUAGAAAAGGUAGAAACGACUGAGAAAAGUGCAAUCUCGCACAAGUACUGGUUGUGUUGUGCAUAUACCAGCAGGGAAGAUAUUUCUUCUUCCUUUAUUUGCUCUAAUCUCCCAAACAGAACAUGUGAUUAAAUAAACCAAAAACUUUUGGGACAUACUUUCAAACCAUCUUUUUGGGAAAUAAAACCUCUGUAAAUCACUAAGAGAAUAAUGGAAAAUGUGGUGUGAUGUUUUUAAAUGGGGUAACAUUUUACAAUAAAGUCAAAAAUAAAUUCAAUUAAUCGAUCAAUAA